rnacentral:rRNA from 1 species
CCUACGGGGGGCAGCAGUGAGGAAGAUUGGUCAAUGGGCGCGAGCCUGAACCAGCCAAGUAGCGUGAAGGAUGACUGCCCUACGGGUUGUAAACUUCUGUUAUAAAGGAAUAAAGUGAGGCACGUGUGCCUUUUUGUAUGUACUUUAUGAAUAAGGAUCGGCUAACUCCGUGCCAGCAGCCGCGGUAAUACGGAGGAUCCGAGCGUUAUCCGGCUUUAGUGGGUUUAAAGGGAGCGUAGAUGGGUUGUUAAGGCAGUUGUGAAAGUUUGCGGCUCAACCGUAAAAUUGCAAUUGAUACUGGCAGUCUUUCGUACAGUUGCGGUAGGCGUCAUUCGUGGUGUAGC